rnacentral:rRNA from 1 species
AUUGAACGCUGGCGGUAUGCUUAACACAUGCAAGUCGAACGAUGAGAAAGAGCUUGCUCUUUCGAUUAGUGGCGGACGGGUGCGUAACGCGUAGGAAUCUACCUAUUAGUGGGGGACAACUUAGGGAAACUUAAGCUAAUACCGCAUACGCCCUACGGGGGAAAGAAGGGGAUCGCAAGACCUUUUGCUAAUAGAUGAGCCUGCGUAGGAUUAGCUAGUUGGUGGGGUAAAAGCUCACCAAGGCGACGAUCCUUAACUGGUUUGAGAGAAUGAUCAGUCACACUGGACCUGAGACACGGUCCAGACUCCUACGGGAGGCAGGAGUGGGGAAUAUUGGACAAUGGGCGAAAGCCUGAUCCAGCAAUACCGCGUGUGUGAAGAAGGCCUUAGGGUUGUAAAGCACUUUCAAUUGGAAGGAAAACCUCGAAGCUAAUACCUUCGAGUUUGACGUUACCUUUAGAAGAAGCACCGGCUAACUCCGUGCCAGCAGCCGCGGUAAAAC